rnacentral:misc_RNA from 1 species
AAAGUCGUAACAAGGUUUCCGUAGGUGAACCUGCGGAAGGAUCAUUAGAAAUACCCGGCCUAGCCGGUAAAAAAUUCUAUCCACCCUUGUGUGCAAACAAUUGAAAAAAAAAGAGAAAAUAUUGGAUACUUUUUUUUUUGUAUCCAACUUCUCUAAAAUUUUUUAUAAACUCCAUCAAAUUUUGAAUGAAAACAAUUUUUUUUAAUAAAAAAUAUUAUACAACUUUCAACAACGGAUCUCUUGGCUCUC